UAUGCGCGGAGCAUGCGCCGUAUAUAUAUUUCAGAGAAGUAACCCCUGAGGUUUAAGCAGAAAGAUGGGCCACUACUGUCAAGCAGAUCUCUGACUGAGGCUGGAAACCUCAGGGGCUUUCUACCUCGUCCCCUUCUUCCCGCCAGAACCCGGUGCAGAGUGUGGAAGGAGCUGGGACAGCUGGCAGCCUAUUAAUACAGACCUUCUUGCCAGGCCCUUUCCUUCAAAGCAGGUCCACACAGACUACCCAGCAGCCCCCGCACCCCUGCUCCCAGCCCCUGCGAUCUCUGACUUCAGCCCCGUUCUCCUGAAAUCAGUGAUGGCUCAAGAAACCGCAGGAUCCUGGGCCCAGACCCCGGGUGAAGAUGCCCCAAUAUUUCUCAGUCCACAGACUUCUUGCCCCUCCAUCCCCAGCUGCCUUGCCAGGGGGGCCUGGUGAGAAAGUUGAGACCAUAUAUAGAGUUGUCUCUUACAAUGAACCGCCUUUAUUUUCUUGUGACAUACGCCAAGUGGGGUCUCCUCCCGAGUCACCCCUUUGAGUGCUCGGUUCUCGGCAUGCUCCUCCUGGGUGCCCUGCCUCCCAUCCCCUGCUGCGCCUUGAGGAAGCAUACGCCAAUUCAACUUAAGCAAAGCAUGACUAAGGACAUAAGCCCGAUGCUACACAAGCAAACAAUUUCUUUAUCCUAUAUUCAAGGGCCGGAUUUAAAUGCUUGGUGAGAUUACCCACUGUUUUGGAUUACCCACGGAGCUGGUCGUUCCCCCGGGUGGGGCCAGCUGAGAGCUGGGUGCGUUUGGGCGAAGGCUUCACCUCACGUGGAAGUUGAGAGUUGAAGUCAGGCGUUGGGUCCAGCAUCACAGUCUUUGCUCCUGCGGCUGUCCCUGGUGUGUCCCACCCUUCCCCCCGGGGAUGGUCGUCACAGCUCCCCAUCUCGAGGAAGGAAGCAACAACAGGCAGGAAGGGAUGUGCGGAUCCAAAACUUGCGCAUUUAGUGCACACGCCGGGACUUUCGAGUGUUUCCAAGUCGAGAUACCAAUUUUCCCUUUCGCUUCAGGAAAUGCCUCCACGGGCUCAACCUUCCCAGAAAGUUGGAGUUUUCAGCAGGCUAAAGAGAAAGAGACCCAGGAAAGGGGGGGAAGGUUGUCAGGAAGAGCUGGUCAAAUUUCAGAGUAAAUUUUUCAGGAGCCAAAAUUUAAAUAUGGACAUAAUAUAGGCCCUGUGUUUCCUGAAGCUUCUGUGGUGUUUGGCAAACUCUCUUUCUUUCCUCUUCCCUCUGUCCCGCUCAGCUGGGCUUCUGAGGACAGUGCAGAAGUAUCAUCAGGAGGUUGGUCUUUUGGAAGUAGCCCCAAGGGAGUAUGCCUGCAGGCUCCAUUGGCUUGGUGUGGAAUGGACUCCCAUGAAAGUUUUGUUGGCCUGAGCCCUCGGCCUGGGUGCUCAUGUGGCUACUCCAUUUGAGGAGGGCUUCAGGACUAGCUUGUCUUAUCUGCUCUUCCUGCUUCUCUCACUCCAUUGUUGUGAGGUCUUUGGCCAAUUUACUUCCCGUUGAUCAGCCAUAAAACAUCAGUGCCAACUCACAUUGAGACAGGGCAGUGCCCUCUGAAGGGCCUCAGGCUGGAGGUUCAGCGCUGCCCAAAGUAGUGGAGAGGAAAGGUGGAGGCUGACAUCCCCCAAAGGAAACUAUAGGACAGUGUGCAAAUUGCAUACGAGGGUGGCCCCGGGAGGUGGCAAGCAGGAGGUGCACGGUGCUUUGAAUUGUUUACCCAGGAAUGGGGAUGGUGAGCCCUGCUCCACCUCUGCUAUCCUGGGGCCCGUUGUCAUGACAGCCUCUCUGGGUGAUGGCUGCCUGGUCU
ensembl:lncRNA